rnacentral:rRNA from 1 species
GACGAACGCUGGCGGCGUGCUUAACACAUGCAAGUCGAACGGCAAGGCCUCUUUCGGGGGGUACUCGAGUGGCCAACGGGUGAGUAACACGUGAGUAACCUGCCCUUGACUUUGGGAUAACUUCAGGCAACUGGGGCUAAUACCUGAUAGGACCUCCUGCUGCAUGGUGGGGGUUGGAAAGUUUCGGCGGUUGGGGAUGGACUCGCGGCGUAUCCGCUUGUUGGGGGGGUAGUGGCUUACCAAGGCUUUGACGGGUAGCCGGCCUGAGAGUGUGAGCGGCAGCAUUGGGACUGAGAUGAGGCCCAGACGGCUAAGGGAGGCAGAAGGGGGGAAGAUUGCACAAUGGGUAGAAGCCUGAUGCAGCAGAGCUGUGUGCGGGAUGACGGCUUUCGGGGUGUAAACCGCCUUCGCUCAUGAAGAAGCUUUGUGUGACGGUAGUGGGUAAAGAAGCACCGGCUAACUACGUG